ensembl:lncRNA
UUUUCUGUCUUGCUUUGAAAUUUCUAUCACUUGUAAGCUAACAUUGUUCUCUGUGUGUGUUUUGGUGUCCCUGAUUAAGCCUGCUAUUGUGGUUCUGUUUUGACACUCUUGAUGUCAAUUUUCAGGAAACACCUGUCUAAAGAACAACGUAGAGCUCAUCAUACAGAAGUGAGCCAGCUAUCUCUGCCAGACGGAAUAGAGUUCUAGCAUCUGUGUCUUCAGGCCAAAUGAUGUAUGAUCCAGUUUGAUUUAAUUUACUUAUCAUUCACAUUGGAGGGAAUUCAGAAUACGAAGAUAGAACAGGCCCUGAGUAAAGAAAGGAAGAUGCAGAGUGCCCUGCGAAGAACUUGUCACCAGACAGCAAAGGUUGUGUCUCAAGCUUCAGUGCAAGUGUGGCCAGUAUGGGUCCCAAAAAGUCAAGAUGGCUCCUGACAGCAGUAAUCAGGUUUAUGUGGAAAAGGAAGGACAACAUCCCAGGAAUGUGACCUUCUGAGAGGGACUUUGUCCUAUAAUUCAUCCGUCUGGGGAACAUGCAUGAAAUAAGACUUGGAGACAAAGAAAGGCCGAAUGCAGUAGUAAGCCGGUAUAAAAAUUAUGUUCUGGGAAGCAAGGCUACGAGUUACAGAGGACCACUUUAUUUAUUUCUGUGUAUUUAUUUUCAAUUGGUGUGAUAUUUAGAGUAGUCAAUCCUUUUGACCCCUCUUAACUACUUAUUGAUCAGAAUACUGCUAAUUCCGCAUGAUGCACAUACUUUUUAAAAAAGACUUCUUCAAUUAAAGUGAUGAAUGUAAUUCAUUUAUUCUUCAAAUUUGCUCUGAUAUUAAUUAAUGAAAAAAUGCAUUACAGCCUUUUUGUAAAAGAUGAGGGAAAGGUAAGUAAGGCAUCCUCUCUCUGAGGGUCUUCAGAUUUUAUCUCUAAUACUCAAGAUGAUAAAGUUGAUAUUACAUUAGCCUUAGAUAUGUUAGUAAUCAAGUGUGGCCAGAUAGCUGCCUCCUGAUUACAUAUCUGAGAAGAUAAAUAUGGUAUUUAUGUCAAUCAAAGUCAACUUCAAUUCACUUUUUGACUAGUUCCAAGUUUAAUAGAGUGUUCUGCAAACAGAAGAAGCUUAAGAGAUCAGCCGAAAAUGAAAAAAUUAUUUACCCUUCAGCCAUCUUCAGGCUAAAGAUACAUAGUUCCUCAAUAUAUUCAUGGAAUGUGAGAAAGGCUGCAAAACUUCGCAGGUUUACUGAUAUGGCAUAACUUUGGUUCAUGAAAAAAGGUGUUUUUUUUUUAAAUUAUGAAAACAAUGUCACAACAUUACAAAAAGUUUGGCAAAUACUAGGAAAAAUAUCAAUCAUAAUUUAAACACUCAAACAUUAAACCAAAUGCAGUAUUUUUGAUAUUCGUGGGUUCUCUUCCUUUUGUUUUUCAUUCAAACCAUCUUCCAUUAUUGCAAUCAUAAUGUACUUAUAAAAACUUUGUUCCUUCUUAUUAAAGUUAGCUGAAGAAGGAUUUUUAUGUAUUGCCAUAUGGACUUAUAAUUAUCAAUUUUAAAAUUGCAUAGUUUUCAAUCAGGUAGAUGCACUAUAAUUUAACAUUCUCUUGACUGUGGACAUCUCGUUUACUUUUAACUUUUUGCAUAAAAGAGUUUCCAAUGAAUGUCUCGUGUUCAUUGUGUUUUCCAUUUUGGGGAGAAUUUCUUUAAGAUAAUUCCUGGACUACAUAAUGACAUUGUCUAAAAAUUGGUGACUUUGGUAAGACCAAUUACAGGAGGGUGUUAGAGACUAAAAGCCAGUUUUCAAUGGGUUGAAGGGUGAGUGGGGGUGACAUCCUAGAACAUUUUUCUGCUGACUGUAGAAAAUAUUUUCGAGAAAAAGAUUGAAGCUAUAGGAACAGGAAAGAAUGACUAAAUGAAGGAGGUCCUGAAAAGGCAGGAGGGGUCCAGAAUUGCUGAAUGCCCAUAGAAAGUUAAUAGUAGGAAAAGGAACAUCUGCCCCUCAAAGUGAGGGAAAUCACAAUUGUAGAUAUGGAUGCAAGU